AUGGAGUCACAAAAUCAAGUUCUCAUGUCCCUGCUGCUCUGGGUGUCUGGUAUCUGUGGGGACAUCUUGAUGACCCAGUCUCCAUCCUCCCUGACUGUGUCAGCAGGAGAAAAGGUCACCAUCAACUGCAAGUCCAGUCAGAGUCUGUAUGGCAGCAAUAACAAGAACUACUUGUACUGGUACCAGCAGAAACCAGGACAGGCUCCUAAACGUCUGAUCUACUGGGCAUCCACUCGGGACACUGGGGUCCCUGAUCGCUUUACAGGCAGUGGGUCUGAGACAGAUUUCACUCUCACCAUCAGCAGUGUCCAGGCUGAGGACCUGGCAGAUUACUACUGUCUGCAGCAACACAGUUAUCCUCCCACAGUGCGUGGCAGAUGUGACAUCCGAAUGACACAAACUGUAUCCUCCCUGUCUACAUCUCUGGGAGACAGAGUCACCAUCGCUUGGAAGUCCAGUGAGGACAUUUAUGCUAUAUUAUCAUGGUACCAGCAGAAACCAGGGAAAGCUCCUAAGCUCCUGAUCUAUGGUGCAAACAACUUGGAAGAUGCGGUCCCAUUGAGGUUCAGUGCAGUGGGUCUGAGACACAAUAUUCUCCCAGUUAGCAGCCUGGAGGCUGAAGAUACUGCCACUUACUACUGUCUGCAAGGUUCUGUCACCCCUCCCACAGUGACACAUGUCAUGUCAUAA